UAGUCUACGCCGUAAACGAUGGAUACUAGUUGUUUGGACUUCGGUCUGAGUGACUAAGCGAAAGUGAUAAGUAUCCCACCUGGGGAGUACGUUCGCAAGAAUGAAACUCAAAGGAAUUGACGGGGGCCCGCACAAGCGGUGGAGCAUGUGGUUUAAUUCGAUGAUACGCGAGGAACCUUACCAGGGCUUAAAUGUAUGUUGACAGGUUUAGAGAUAGACUUUUCUUCGGACAAUAUACAAGGUGCUGCAUGGUUGUCGUCAGCUCGUGCCGUGAGGUGUCAGGUUAAGUCCUAUAACGAGCGCAACCCCUGUUGUUAGUUGCCAGCGAGUAAAGUCGGGAACUCUAGCAAGACUGCCGGUGCAAACCGUGAGGAAGGUGGGGAUGACGUCAAAUCAUCACGGCCCUUACGUCCUGGGCUACACACGUGCUACAAUGGCCGGUACAGAGAGCAGCCACUAUGUGAAUAGGAGCGAAUCUAUAAAGCCGGUCACAGUUCGGAUCGC
rnacentral:rRNA from 1 species